GGUGUAGCUCAGUGGUAGAGCACUUGCCUAGAAUGCAUGAGGCACUGGGUUCGAUCCUCAGCACC
rfam:Ictidomys tridecemlineatus contig112150, whole genome shotgun sequence.